AGUGAACGCUGGCGGUAGGCCUAACACAUGCAAGUAGAACGAGUGGCGAACGGGUGAGGAAUAAAUUGGAAUCUACUCUGUCGUGGGGGAUAACGUCGGGUAACUUACGCUAAUACCGCAUACGAUUGAAUGAGCCGCUGUCGGCUUAGCUAGUUGGCGGGGUAAAGGCCCACCAAGGCCACGAUCCGUACCUGGUCUGAGAGGAGGAUCAGCCGCACUGGAACUGAGGCGGCGUCCAGCCUCCUACGGUAGGCAGCAGUGGGGAAUGUUGGACAAUGGGCGCAAGCCUGAUCCAGCCAUACCGCGUGGGUGGAGGAGGCCUUCGGGUUGUAAAGCCCUUUUGUUGGGAUAGCGUUACCAGCAGAAUAAGCACCGGCUAACUUCGUGCCAGCAGCCGCGGUAAUUC
rnacentral:rRNA from 1 species